ensembl:lncRNA
CCAAAAUUCACCCAGGUCUUUAUUCAAUGAUGUUAACAAGUGACUUUACUCCUGACAUCAUAAUUCCCUGGGAACAUUUGGAUGCAUCAUGAAAAUGGUCCAGAACUUCAACAGAGAGAGACUUCAGAGGACUAAUUAGCCAACUGGAAGAUGCCUAUGUCCCUUAUGGAUGACUGAGCAUGUGCAGAGUGACCAGAUCCCAAAACAGCUGAUAAGAUAAAGUCUUCAUACUGACUGGACUUGGAUCCUGGGAACUCCCUGCAAGAAGUAAGACUGCAAGAGAAGAAACUGAUGCACAUGAAUAACAGCAUAAAAACUAUUUCACUUAAAAGGGAGACUCAUGAGGACAAACUCUCAGGAGCUGAGGCAGUUUCUUCCAGAAGGAAAAAUCAACAUGGCCACUGAUAGCAACCUAGAGAUUAAAACCCUG